CGCGAAUUUUAUGCCGCGGUGGCAUUUUCUUUUCGUUUCGGUUAUUGAGGACGCGUGCUCGCUUUCGUACAGGAUUAUGUUUUUUUUUGCUAUCGUUAAACCUAACGAUAUAGGAUAUUUAAUAAGAGUUUUUAAAAUUAAAUCAGGCACGGGUUAAUUCCCCCCCCAUUGUGUUCUUUGUAAGGGGGGGCGGGAAACAGGAUGCACGAGCCACGUGCACACAUUUCAGUAAUUAGGUCUGUAAUUGUUUCUCAUGAGUGAUUUUCUUUCUUAUAUGUAAACUUGACCAAUGAGGAUUUUUUUUUUUUUUGCGUGUAAGUAUAAAUACUAUGAUGAAUGUUUUAGUUAAUCGUUGUUUUCGGGUUGUGUCAUUUAAGUGAAAAAAAAAAAAGUAAAUUGCAUGUAAAUCACUGCAUAGGUUUAACGCACCAGUUAGAGCAGAGCAUCGUGUGUGUGUGUGCGCGCGCGGUACCAUUUGCCUGAUUUAACAGCAGUGGAUUAUCGUCUGGUUUAAUCCCAAAUGGCGCCGUUGGAUGUUGAUUUGGUCGGGGUUUCAUUUCUCCAGCUCGCUCAUUCAUCAUUUAUGUAACGCUUUGCCGCUGUUCCUUUGCUGAGGCAAUUCCCUAGCAGGUUUUGUUGCAUAUGAGGAAACGAGUGGCUGUUUCGAAAAUGCAUAUUGUAAAAACGAAACGAAGCCAAGCUCUCUCUUUCUCUCUCUCUGUGUGUGUGUGUGUGUGUCCUGUAAAGCUGGAGAGAAGAUGAGGAUGAGCACCAUGUGCUGGCUGAGGUAGUGCUUUGUGCUGUUGGUCGGGUCGCUCCUCUGCCCGCUGAUGGAGAUGACGGCGCAAAACACUGCCUUGCUAGAGCUGGUGAUGAACCGCAUAUAAUCUACAAGACCUACACACCAGAUUUACAAGAUUUACACACCAGUCAUUUAUGUUUUUAUAACUCAAAUUCAAACCUGGGCUUUAUUAUAAAUAAAUGUGAUCCCACAUCCGUGUGUGUGUCCAGUGUCUUCUCUGUACCAGGUUCUGAGGCCAUUUCUUCUGUCCACUUAUUUUUGAGCUUUUCCCAUUUGUGUAGUUUUGUGUGCAUUUUCUGAUUGGUUUAUUGAUCUUAACCAGGGACAUUUUUUAGUAAUCAGUUUUUCUACCGUCAUCGUCAUUAACUGAAUAUCUGUUCUUAAAAAUAAAUAACAGGCACUGUUUCAGUCACAAUUUGCUUACCAGGAUUACGAUACGUUAUUAGCCGUUUUACAUGCAGUUAGCAUGCCAGCUCGGUUAUGAGUUGAAGUAAAUAAGUUAAAUUGAACUAUAAAAUAAUGUUACAUUAAAAAAAAGUCAGCUAUGUAGCCAUACAUAAAUAUUACAUUUGUAACGCAAAAUUCAGUAGCAAACUUGAAGUACAUUUUCCCUGAGUGAUUAAUCCAGUUAUGGUGACUAGCUAACAUGUACUAGAAAGUUGUCGGUUGUGAUGUUUCUGCUUAUUUAAGUAGCUUAGAAUAUCUAAAUUAACCCUAAAGUAGGCACAAAUGAAUUGCCAUGGUUAAUCCAAUUUCGAAUUUUAUUUGUAUAGCACAUAUAACUAUAGACAUUUGUCACAAAGCAGCUUUACAGAAAUCUGAUUGUAGAUUAAUGAACAAGCCAGAAGCAACAGUGUCAAUGGAGGGGGAAACUCCCUGAGAUCUGAGAUUAUAGCUAAUUAAAGUAUAUAGGUGUGUGAAAAGAAGAUAAGCAAUAAACAGCACUGUUGAAAGGAUGACCUUUUGUGAAGGUAGCCUGGGAUGAUCACAAGACAAGUCCCUGAUUAGGUAUAAACAAAACAGAAGGCUCCAAGUAUAAACUCAGCAUCGGGAUGAAUCAGGCAGGUACCAUUGUAGUAGUACUGUAUUGCCUCCAGUUCUGUUUGUAAAGAGAAUGCCCAUUUUAUUUGUGGAAAAAGACCUGACCUUUCUAUAGCCUACAUGAUAUAGCCUACAGAUCCACAUAUGGGGUCCUCUGAUAUAUACUGUGUGCAUAAUCGGUGCUGUUACUGAGUCAGUGUUGGGUACACUGGUCUUGCAGAACCAUGACUGGUAUCUCAAAAUGUAGGCAAGUAUGUUAUAUGAUACUUGACCAAAUGUACCUUGUAACUAGAUUUGUCCUGCUUUAAUAAGUGAAAUCCAAUCUUCCUAGUCAGGCCGAAAAAAUCUGCAGUGUGUCUAGGUCUCAAAGUAUUCUUCAUUUAUCAUCAAUAUAAGAACGGUUUUUGAUUAAUCAGCAUAUCAAGCAAACAUGUUUAAGAAUUGUGUACAGUGUAAACUGGAGUGAAGCUGGUAAGUGUCAAAAGAUGAGAGGAGCGCUUAAAAAAUAUCCAGACAGUGAUGGUGCAAUGUCAUAAAGCAUGCUCUGCAUGGCAAAAUUAAAGGGACUUACUAAGAAUGGCAUUAUGGAGGAUAAAGAGAUUACACAUGAGUUUAAG
ensembl:lncRNA